CUAGCGACUUCAGAGUUUGAUCCUGGCUCAGGAUGAACGCUGGCGGCGUGCUUAACACAUGCAAGUCGAACGAGGUUAACAGAGCGGAUUAUUUCGGUAUGAAGCACUUUUAACUGAGUGGCGGACGGGUGAGUAACGCGUGGGCAACCUGCCUCAUUCAGGGGGAUACCAGUUGGAAACGACUGUUAAUACCGCAUAAGCGCACGGUUCCGCAUGGAACAGUGUGAAAAGCUCCGGCAGAAUGAGAUGGGCCCGCGUCUGAUUAGCUAGUUGGUGAGGUAACGGCCCACCAAGGCGACGAUCAGUAGCCGACCUGAGAGGGUGACCGGCCACAUUGGGACUGAGACACGGCCCAA
rnacentral:rRNA from 1 species